rnacentral:rRNA from 1 species
CAAUAGCGUAUAUUAAAGUUGUUGCAGUUAAAAAGCUCGUAGUUGAAUUUUUGCUUGCCGCCGAUGUCGGAACUUCCGUACGUUCGGCGGCGUGCAUCCUUGGGUGGAACCUGUGUGGCAUUAGGUUGUCGUGCAGGGGAUGCUCAUCGUUUACUGUGAAAAAAUUAGAGUGUUCAAAGCAGGCUUACGCCGUUGAAUAUAUUAGCAUGGAAUAAUAAGAUAGGACCUUGGUACUAUUUUGUUGGUUUGCGCACCGAGGUAAUGAUUAACAGGGACAGUUGGGGGUAUUCGUAUUCCAUUGUCAGAGGUGAAAUUCUUGGAUUUCUGGAAGACGAACUACUGCGAAAGCGUUUACCAAGGAUGUUUUCAUUAA